rnacentral:sRNA from 1 species
CAGAGGCAGAGGUCGACGUCCACACCUAAUGUCCACAUGGUCAGCACUACCCUGCCUGUGGACAGCAGGAUGAUUGAGGAUGCAAUUCGAAGUCACAGCGAAUCAGCCUCACCUUCAGCCCUGUCCAGUAGCCCCAACAAUCUGAGCCCAACAGGCUGGUCACAGCCGAAAACCCCCGUGCCAGCACAAAGAGAGCGGGCACCAGUAUCUGGGACCCAGGAGAAAAACAAAAUUAGGCCUCGUGGACAGAGAGAUUCAAGCUAUUACUGGGAAAUAGAAGCCAGUGAAGUGAUGCUGUCCACUCGGAUUGGGUCAGGCUCUUUUGGAACUGUUUAUAAGGGUAAAUGGCACGGAUUAGUUGUGGGUGUCCCUGUCAAACAGGGAAGGUAUAGACUUAAUUCUUGAAUCUAUGUGGAAUAUUAGUGUUCUUAUUUUAAUGGAAACACUUUGUCACUUGGAAGAAAGGAGAUGUUGCAGUAAAGAUCCUAAAGGUUGUCGACCCAACCCCAGAGCAAUUCCAGGCCUUCAGGAAUGAGGUGGCUGUUCUGCGCAAAACACGGCAUGUGAACAUUCUGCUUUUCAUGGGGUACAUGACAAAGGACAACCUGGCAAUUGUGACCCAGUGGUGCGAGGGCAGCAGCCUCUACAAACACCUGCAUGUCCAGGAGACCAAGUUUCAGAUGUUCCAGCUAAUUGACAUUGCCCGGCAGACGGCUCAGGGAAUGGACUAUUUGCACGCAAAGAACAUCAUCCAUAGAGACAUGAAAUCCAACAGUAUCCUUUGGUUGUUGAGUUCAUUUGACUGCUCGGUUCUAAAUUUAGGGAAACAGAAGGGAGCCUUUCUAUCACAAGUGGCUCUCCGUGCCAGGGGAUAUCUUUUAAAGGAAAGAGGCAGAGGACAGGAAAACAGAAAAGUCAGAAAAUUAGUAGGCUUGGCCUGCCCCUCAGCAGCUUAUGCCUCACCUGGACUGAUGAGAGCAAUGUUUAGGUUAGGUUCCUUUCUGAGUUUAUCAGCAAAAGUGAUUUGGAGAGAUUUCCGUAAGCUUGAAAUAGGCAUAAUUUUGUCACACUAUUAGUAAAUUUAACCUGAGGGGGAUUGGGCUUUUGUCUUAUGUUUAUUUCUAGUUUGUGGCCAGUGUGUGUAUGUCUAUCUGCUUGUUAUGUGGAUAGCAAGUAGCUACAAGCCAAAUGUUGAAAGGUUUCCAAAAUCACUAUUUAAAAUGGUCUUUCUUGACUGGGCGUGAUGGCUCACACCUAUAAUUCCAGUACUUCGGGAGGCUGAGGCAGGUAGAUCACUUGAGGCUAGGAGUUUGAGACCAGCCUGGCCAAUGUGGUGAAACCCCAUCUCUAAAUUUAAAAAUUAGCUGAGUGUGGUGGCACGUACCUAUAAUCCCAGCUACUCAGGAGGCUGAGGCACGAGAAUUGCUUGAACCUGGGAGGCAGAGGUUGCAGUGAGCUGAGAUCACACCACUGCACUCCAGCCUUGGGGACAGAGCAAGGCUAUGUCUCAAAAAAA